AAGAGUUUUACUGACAACGACAGUGGACUCAUAAUCCAUUGGUCGAAGGUUCGAGUCCUUCCGGGCC
rnacentral:tRNA from 1 species